CACGACCAGUGUGGGGAAUUCGAGAAUCAACUCCUCGGUAUGCUGGAACAAGUUUGUGGCGUGAAGCAUUCCCGGACGACCCCUUACCAUCCGCAGGGCAACGGUCAAGUGGAAAGAUUUAAUAGGACGCUGUUAGACAUGCUCAGACCACUCCCUGAAAAUUAAAAGUCACGCUGGAAAGACCAUGUUAAGAAGGUUGUACAUGCGUACAACUGUACACGGAACGACACAACCGGCUAUUCACCAUUCUUUCUCCUCUUUGGACGACAAACCCGACUAACAAUCAACUUUCUGCUCGAUCCCAACCUAGUAAUCACCAGCAAGACCAAUCCUCCAGUACGUGUCAGAGUGGGAAAACGCCAUGCACGAGGCAUAUCGGCUGGCUGGACGAAAGACAAAAGAGAAAGGUGAUAAAGCGAAGAAACACUGUGAUCGUUUGGACGGAGUUCACUAAUACAGCCCGGCGAUAGAGUAUUGGUACGGAACUUGAGUGAACCUGGCGGUCCUGGAAAGUUGAAAAGAAAAAAAGUGUAUAACCACUAUUAGAUUGUAAAACAGUACUAAUAAAGAUUUGAAGCACAACUUGAUACAUAUAAUUUACAAGGACUUGUAGCAACGAGCCUAACACACAUAUCUGAUGAAGAAAGUCGCUUUCUUGUCGCAAUUCACCAACAAAAAUUGUCUCUGCGUUGCGAAAGAUUGUUUCGGACUGCCUCCUUCAGAUUCUUGCUGUGUUUUGGGUCAGCAACAGAAUUACAAAGUCUAUAUAUGGCUAUAACGCGAAAUAUUAGGCGCCCAUUCUUUUUUUGUAGAAUUUCUUUGGCGUGUCCUUGCUAAGCCAUCGACUCGAUUGAAUGACAGACUUUCGAAAUUUGCGCUUAAUUCCAUGCUCAAAACUGUAAUUCAAUACCUUAUCUUAUACAUGUAAUCAAUUUCAAUGUUUUCUUGUCGUUACACUUUCUCAUUUAAAAAUUUGUACACUAUGCAAUUUGUCUUGCAACUUGUGUCGCAUAUUCGGUAGCCCGUUAGAGACACGCUUGUUUCGUGGAAAAUCACAUUCGUUUUGUGUACUUGAAGUAGUUUUGCUUAAUAACCGAGCGUUUCCGUAUAGUUGUGCGACGUUUCCGUAGAAAAUUCAAACAACUUCCGCGGAAAUAUAGACGCUUCCAUACAAAUGUAGAUUUCUUCCGUACAAAUGUGGAUGCAUUCCAUCAAAAUUUUGUACAUGCCUUUUAUACAAAUGUAGACGGGUUCCGUUGAGAUCUAAAACUAAUGCGCGCGCGUAGUGUGGUAACUAUAGUAACUUCAGUUGAGCUAUAUUAUGCAAAAUGGCGGCAUGUGAACAGUGUUCGCACGAAUUCGCUCUUCCAAUUUGCAAUUUUUGUCAAAAUGGUGGUCAUAAAGCAAGUAAGAUCGUACAAUCAAUUGUAGUAUAUGACAAAUAUUUGGUGUGAUGUAAUAUAAAUGGACGCUUUGUUGUUUUUAGUCACGGAAUUCAAAAUUAGUCAUGGGAUAUUAUAAAUCUAUACUAGUUUACCCACAGGGUAGUGAAUGUUGCUUUGGUAUAACCGAUAUAGCAUUGUUCCAAAAAUCUUUAAUAUUUUAAGAAUAAGAAAUAUUUGUAAUGAAUUGGAAUCAUCCAAAAUGUUUAAUAAUAAUGUAUAUCAAAUAAGGCAAAAUAUAUACAAGACAACCUGACAUGUAGAAUCUGUUCACUUACGCACUGCCUUGUAAUGCAGUACAAGUAAAAGUAUAAGUACAUUAUGACAAAGCAUUUUUAAAUUAAAUCCUAAAACAUAAUUAAAUCAUACCGCACAUUCACGAUUUUAAUAUCGUAUUUCAGCCGCGUUUAUACUACUUGGCGCAUUCGCUGCGUUAUAUUCAUUUAUAUACACAGAUUUAUUACUAAUAAAUCAACACUUUAUGAUAAUAUAGAACUAACAAAAUGCAGUCAGCUUUUCAUAAAUAAACCUUUUAAAGCAUGUUAUUGUUAUUGCAGACUAGAGGCAAAAAGAACCACAUACCAAAUUUAAGGAUACCAGGAUUCAAAGUUGAGUAUCUCGCCAAGAAUCCCGCAUCCCAUUUCAUGGAUACUGGUUAUCGGUGCCAUAUAAGAAUUAUACCAUCCGAAAUAUACCCAUCCAAAUAAGUUGGACCAUAACGUUCUUUGUUACAAAUUACAAUGACAACAGGGACUCAACAUUCAACAACUAAACAAUUCAUUAACAAUCUAAAACGCACAUAAUCCUUCAAGAAACUUCUAUAUGGUAGUCCUCAAUGAGUAAAGACUGGUGGCAAUAAACUGAUAAUAUUCAAAAUCUAUUAGAAGCCGGUUUGGUAUCCGAAACUGAAUUUUUGGUAUCCUGUGGAUAGCGAGAUACUGCAAAUUUCAAACCCGGAAUAAGGACAACUUUGACCUUAAUACUUCACCUACUACUAAAUAUCGUAGUUAUAUUUACAUUUACAUGUAUGUAACCAGAACGAGGGCAUUGUCCAAGGGAAAUAUCACUUAAUAUGUAGCGAAACAUUUUGUCAAUUUCCAAAGUGAAGGUUAUAUAAAUGACAUAUAAUACAGAAAACUUAAACGUUAUCAUGCAGUUUGUUUAUUUUCCCAUCUAGGCACGAGGUUUCCACGUGUGCGGCGCGUGCUGGCAUGGGAUAUUCUCCUACCCCAACUCUGUUGACGAAGCCACGAAGGGCCUUUGCCUUUGCUUGAAACGUCGAGUUUCUGCUUAUUAUUUCAGCUAGAAAGAUACGCACACAUUUCCGCGAGUUUACAUUGGUACUACCUGCACUGGCACAGAUAUUAUAGUAUCCCAUGCCUGUCGUGGGAUAUUAUAGAAUUAUAGUAUCCCAUCAUUUUAUUGUGGAGUUUUAAUUUCCGUGACUAAAAACAACAAAGCGACCAUUUACAUCACACCAAACAUUUGUCAUAUAGUACAAUUGAUUGUACGAUCUUACUUGGGGGCCAUUCACAAAGGAUGUCCGAG